GGCUAAGUAGUUCAGUGGAUAGAACGCCCUUCUAACUAAAGGGAUAGUCCCGGGUUCGAAUCCCGGCUUAGAAU
rnacentral:tRNA from 1 species